rnacentral:rRNA from 1 species
AGGACAAACGCUGGCGGGGUGCGUGAGACAUGCAAGUCGAACGAGGUGCCAUCGGGCUUGCUCGAUGGCUACCUAGUGGCGGACGGCUGAGUAACGCGUAGGUGACCUACCCGGAAGUGGGGAAUAACUGCCCGAAAGGGUGGCUAAUACCGCAUACGGUCGACGAUUCGUUUCGUCGUCCAAAGGAGUAAUCCGCUUCCGGCGGGGCCUGCGUCCGAUUAGCUAGUUGGUGGGGUAACGGCUCACCAAGGCGACGAUCGGUAGCUGGUCUGAGAGGAUGAUCAGCCAGACUGGGACUGAGAACGGCCCAGACUCCUACGGGAGGCAGCAGUCGGGAAUUUGCCCAAUGGACGAAAGUCUGAGGCAGCAACUCCGCGUGAGGGACGAAGGCUCUCGGGUCGUAAACCUCUUUUCUCAGGAAGAUCCAAGACGGUACCUGAGGAAUAAGCCACGGCUAACUACGUGCCAGCAGCCGC